rnacentral:rRNA from 1 species
AGUGAACGCUGGCGGUAGGCCUAACACAUGCAAGUCGAACGGCAGCACAGUAAGAGCUUGCUCUUACGGGUGGCGAGUGGCGGACGGGUGAGGAAUACAUCGGAAUCUACUUUUUCGUGGGGGAUAACGUAGGGAAACUUACGCUAAUACCGCAUACGACCUACGGGUGAAAGCAGUGGAUCUUCGGACCUUGCGCGAUUGAAUUAGCCGAUGUCGGAUUAGCUAGUUGGCGGGUUAAAGGCCCACGAAGGCGACGAUCCGUAGCUGGUCUGAGAGAAUGAUCAGCCACAUUGGAACUGAGCCACGGACAAGACUCCUGAGGGAGGCAGCAGUGGGGAAUAUUGGACAAUGGGCGGAAGCCUGAUACAGCCAUACUGAGUGGGUGAAGAAGGCGUUCGGGUUGUAAAGACCUUUUGUUGGGAAAGAAAAGCAGCAGGUUAAUACCACGCUGUUCUGACGGUACCCAAAGAAUAAGCACCGGCUAACUUCGUG